rnacentral:tmRNA from 1 species
GGGGGCGACUGGCUUCGACGGGGCUCAGACGGACGCGAGGUUGCGCGAAGAGGUCGUCGGCCACCUCUUAAAACUGCCGGCAAACCACAAAUGCCAACACUGGCAUGCGUAUGGCUGCCUAAUAACGGGUAGCCGCGUCCGCCCGGACUCGCCCGCGGGUCUGGGGUCGGGCGUCACACACGCGGGCUAGCCGGCCAGUCGGCCGGGAGCGACGCCGGCGAACUCUCAGUCUCGGCUGGGCCGAUGUGGAUCCUGUCGGUUGGAGCCCCAGCGGCCGAGACGCAAUAGACCGACUACUCGCGUAGACGCCUCGUGGCCCGGGCACCCGGACGUGGGUUCGAUUCCCACCGCCUCCACCA